UACCUGCAGCUCGAGUGGUAACCGCUAUUAUUGGGCCUAAAGCGUCCGUAGCCGGUUUGGUAAAUAUCUGGGUAAAUCGUGAGGCUUAACUUCACGAAUUUCGGAUAGACUGCCAGACUUGGGAUCGGGGGAGGUCAGAGGUACUCCAGGGGUAGCGGUGAAAUGUUGUAAUCCUUGGAGGACCACCGGUAGCGAAGGCGUCUGACUAGAACGAGUCCGACGGUGAGGGACGAAGCCCUGGGGCGCAAAACCGGAUUAGAUACCCGGGUAGUCCAGGGUGUAAACGAUGUGGGCUUUGUAUUGGAGGUCCCACGUGGGCGUCCAGUGCAGAAGAGAAGUUGUUAAGCCCACCGCCUGGGAAGUACGGUCGCAAGGCUGAAACUUAAAGGAAUUAGGCGGGGGAGCACAGCAACGGGAGGAGCGUGCGGUUUA
rnacentral:rRNA from 1 species